UUGCUUCAGCAGCUUUGACAGCACGUAUACUAAAAUUGAAAUAAUGCAGAGAAGAUUAGCAUGGCCCCUGCACAAGCAUGUCAAGCAAAUUUGUGAAACUUUCAUAGUUUUU